UAUCCGUAGGUGAACCUGCGGAAGGAUCAUUACAGUGUUCUCUGCCUCACGGGUAGAAACGCCCACCCUUGUGUAUUAUAUCUUUGUUGCUUUGGCAGGCCGCCCUCGGGCACCGGCUCCGGCUGGAUCGCGCCUGCCAGAGGAAACCCAAACUCUGAAUGUUAGUGUCGUCUGAGUACUAUCUAAUAGUUAAAACUUUCAACAACGGAUCUCUUGGUUCUG
rnacentral:misc_RNA from 1 species